UCCACCGCAAGGUGGAAUCUAAAGGAAGCGUGAUGAGCAAAAUCUCGGCCCGAGGAACACAAAUCGUAUUAGGCAUUCGAAGUGGGAUGAGUCUGCCAUACAAGACAAAAUCCAAUAAACUGCACGGACACGGGGAUGUAUAUGCGGCGGGUAUAUGGGAUGAAGGUUACGUGU
rnacentral:ncRNA from 1 species